rnacentral:rRNA from 1 species
AACGCGAAGAACCUUACCUGGGCUUGAACUACUCGUGGUAAGCUGAUGGAAACAUUGGCUGACCCGCAAGGGAGCGAGCAGAGGUGCUGCAUGGUUGUCGUCAGCUCGUGUCGUGAGAUGUUGGGUUAAGUCCCGCAACGAGCGCAACCCCUACUCGAUGUUGCUAAUCCCGCAAGGGAUGCACUCUUCGAGAACUGCCUUCGAUAAGAAGGAGGAAGGUGGGGACGACGUCAAAUCCUCAUGGCCCUUAUGUCCAGGGCUACACACGUGCUACAAUGGCCGGUACAACGGGAAGCAAUGCCGCAAGGUGGAGCCAAACCCUGAAAGCCGGCCUCAGUUCAGAUCGUGGGCUGCAACUCGCCCGCGUGAAGGCGGAAUCGCUAGUAAUCGCGAAUCAGCAGGUCGCGGUGAAUACGUUCCCGGGCCUUGUA